ensembl:lncRNA
CCGCAGUAUUGGAAGAGCUUGUACUACAAAUUCAUCAGUGAGGUGCACGACGCAGGCGUAGGCCUCACUGCAGGUACAACAGGACGAUAAGGAAGGAGAUCAAGAGAGAAUGCUAAUCCUGGUGUCCAGUAGAUAGAUACAAAAGAGUGACUGUGUCAAGGGGGCCUGGCAUGCAAGGCUUAGAGCCCACCAGAUUACCUGCCGCCCCAGAUCCCCAGCCUCCUGCCCAGGAUGGCUUUCCUCAUGAGGGUUGACUUCCAUAGAGCGGAUCCUGACACAGAUGUUGUGGAGCUGGUGAACGAAUGUGGAAGUACAACCAAACCUACCAGCUUGCCCAGGGUCAUAUCAAUCCUACGUGCAUGAUAUGAUGAUACCACCACUUCCUUCUUACCACCACACGGCUCUAUUUCCAUGUUUACGGCUUGUUUACGGAAGCGUCUUUGAAUGACCGUGUGUAACGGAUGGACGGCAGAAAGUUGUUGAAACUGAGAAGUACUGUUGGCUGCAACUGUGUUAAAGGGAAAUAAAUAAA